rnacentral:misc_RNA from 1 species
GCCUCUUACCAAUUUGGAAAUGUUUAUUCAAAGACGAUGAUUGUAUAGAUGGUAGCAUUUUACAAUGUUAGAGCAGUAAUGAAAUUAUAAUUUUUUUUUUCUAGAUUUUUUCAUGCAUGUUUCAACAUACGUUUUGUAGUGACAGUUAAAAAGUGCAUUGUUAAGCCAACUGAUUGUCUUAUCUCUCAUGCUGCGAUGAAUUAGAAGCUUGACUCGUUUGUUGUUGGUCUCCUCAAGUAAUAGCGCAAGCUGUUUGCAAGAACCUGUUGAAGGGGUUUGAUGAGAGCUUUGUUCUUGUAGCUUACAUGAAAUUUUGCCUUAGCUAGCAGUCCCUCGGUGUCAAAUUCUCCUGAUAUAACAUCAAUGUUUAUUUCAGUAAUGAUCUUGACGAGAUCAACUAUUAAUCCAGGUCGAUCUGCUGCCUCUACACACAGUAAGCUUCGUUCAGGACCAUCAUCAUAGACAUGGAUAUGAGUUGCUAUGUCCACAUCUAGCUUUUGACUUGGUUGAAAAGCACCAAAGGCUUCACCCAUAGCUAACUGAGAGCUAGAUUCCGGAUGAAACUCCAUCAAAUUGUUGAUAAUUGUCAAUCGAAUUGCUUCUAGCAGCUCUGGAUCCUCAACCUUUCUACCUGUAGAAGCAUGUGUGAUGCAUAAUUUAUUGUGCUUCCCUGAUGAAUCUAGAUAGACAUUAGCCUUGACAACAUUCA